rnacentral:lncRNA from 1 species
GGAAGUGCGUACCGGAAGUGCCGGCGGCAGUGUGUAAGACGCUCACGGGCGCGCGGACUAUCGGGCGGCUAGGCUCUCUGAGGAGGCUGCCACAGUGCAACCGUGACAAGUGGUGCCCGACCAGGGACCUGAACGAGGAAGGUCUGCCAGAGCAGAGAAAGUGAAACUGAUCAGACGAACUACGAACCCCUGGACGGGAGAGUCUGCCGGCGGAGAAUAUAAGGAGAUGGACAAACCGUGUGGGUGCCCUCCAGGUGUGUGUGACCAUGGAACGGGAGACCGGAGGGAUCCAUGGUAUUCAACCGUGGGCCUGUUACCUCCAGUACGAGCCAUGAGCCAGCGGAAUCUGAAUGCAAAGACAGAACAAGGGCCGACCGGAGUCACAAUGACAUCCAACCCCAUAACAUGGGGACAGAUCAAGAAAACGACACAAGAAGCUGAGAAACUACUGGAGCGCCAGGGUCAGGCAAAAACCCCUGACUCCAUGUUCUUGGCCAUGCUAGCUGUAGUGUCCUGUGCGUCUAUAGGAUCGGGUGAACCACCAACCGGCAAUUGAAAGC